rnacentral:rRNA from 1 species
AUUGAACGCUGGCGGCAUGCCUUACACAUGCAAGUCGAACGGCAGCACGGGUGUUUGCACCUGGUGGCGAGUGGCGAACGGGUGAGUAAUAUAUCGGAACGUACCCUAGAGUGGGGGAUAACGCAGCGAAAGUUGCGCUAAUACCGCAUACGAUCUACGGAUGAAAGUGGGGGAUCGCAAGACCUCAUGCUCAUGGAGCGGCCGAUAUCUGAUUAGCUAGUUGGUGGGGUAAAAGCCUACCAAGGCAUCGAUCAGUAGCUGGUCUGAGAGGACGACCAGCCACACUGGAACUGAGACACGGUCCAGACUCCUACGGGAGGCAGCAGUGGGGAAUUUUGGACAAUGGGCGCAAGCCUGAUCCAGCAAUGCCGCGUGAGUGAAGAAGGCCUUCGGGUUGUAAAGCUCUUUUGUCAGGGAAGAAACGGUGAGGGCUAAUAUCCUUUGCUAAUGACGGUACCUGAAGAAUAAGCACCGGCUAACUACGUGCCUGCAGCCGCGGUAAUACGUAGGGUGCAAGCGUUAAUCGGAAUUACUGGGCGUAAAGCGUGCGCAGGCGGUUAUGUAAGUCAGAUGUGAAAUCCCCGGGCUCAACCUGGGAAUGGCAUUUGAGACUGCAUGGCUAGAGUGUGUCAGAGGGGGGUAGAAUUCCACGUGUAGCAGUGAAAUGCGUAGAGAUGUGGAGGAAUACCGAUGGCGAAG